rnacentral:rRNA from 1 species
UACGUAGGGUGCGAGCGUUGUCCGGAAUUACUGGGCGUAAAGAGCUCGUAGGUGGUUUGUCGCGUUGUUCGUGAAAACUCACAGCUUAACUGUGGGCGUGCGGGCGAUACGGGCAGACUGGAGUACUGCAGGGGAGACUGGAAUUCCUGGUGUAGCGGUGAAAUGCGCAGAUAUCAGGAGGAACACCGGUGGCGAAGGCGGGUCUCUGGGCCGAUACUGACGCUGAGGAGCGAAGCGUGGG